AUUAGAGUAUUUAAACCAGCACGGGCGUAGAAAAAAUCUACGCCCGUGUACUUAUUUUGAAAGCAGGAAGAAUAGC
rnacentral:sRNA from 1 species